rnacentral:rRNA from 1 species
UACGUAGGGUGCGAGCGUUGUCCGGAUUUAUUGGGCGUAAAGAGCGUGUAGGCGGCCACACAGGUCAGCUGUGAAAACUCGAGGCUCAACCUCGAGACGUCGGUUGAAACCGUAUGGCUAGAGUCCGGAAGAGGAGAGUGGAAUUCCCGGUGUAGCGGUGAAAUGCGCAGAUAUCGGGAAGAACACCCGUGGCGAAGGCGGCUCUCUGGGACGGUACUGACGCUGAGACGCGAAAGCGUGGGGAGCGAACAGG